rnacentral:rRNA from 1 species
UACGAAGGGGGCUAGCGUUGCUCGGAAUUACUGGGCGUAAAGCGCACGUAGGCGGCUCUUUAAGUCGGGGGUGAAAUCCUGGAGCUCAACUCCAGAACUGCCUUCGAUACUGAAGAGCUCGAGUCCGGAAGAGGCGAGUGGAAUCCUGGUGUAGCGGUGAAAUGCGCAGAUAUCAGGAGGAACACCGGUGGCGAAGGCGGGUCUCUGGGCAGUAACUGACGCUGGAGGAGCGAAAGCGUGGGGAGCAAACAGG